GGAAUCUUCGGCAAUGGGGGCAACCCUGACCGAGCAACGCCGCGUGAGUGAAGAAGGUUUUCGGAUCGUAAAGCUCUGUUGUAAGAGAAGAACGUGUGUGAGAGUGGAAAGUUCACACAGUGACGGUAACUUACCAGAAAGGGACGGCUAACUACGUGCAG
rnacentral:rRNA from 1 species